rnacentral:tRNA from 2 species
GGGGCGGUAGCUCAGUUGGUUAGAGCAGGGGACUCAUAAUCCCUUGGUCGCGGGUUCAAGUCCUGCCCGCCCCAC